CCUGGUGGCGCAGUAGUUAAGCGCUAUAGCUGCUAACUAUAAGGCUGGCAGUUCUACUCUGUCCUAUAGGG
rnacentral:tRNA from 1 species